GAUAACAGCGUUUGAACUUUGAACUCUCCCAAAUUUUCAUUUUCCCCCACAUUUCUCUCUCUCCAAAAUUCUGUCCCUCCCUCCUCUCCCACCAAGCAGUGUCGUAGCCGCCGCCGCCGCCGCCACUGUCCAGUUCCUCCGCCCACCACCAAGCAGUGCCGCCGCCCACCAUCCGGCCGAUCUCUCUCAACCUCACGCGGUUUGGUCGCCUCCGCCCACCCACCACGACACCACCUGUCUGUUUUUGUUUUGAUUCUUUGUUUUUUUUUGGUUCACUCAUCUGGGUUUUGCUUGGGUUCACCCACCACAACACCACCGGCCGUUCUCCAUCGACGUUCGCUCACAACCACCGCACGCUAUCGAGUGGGAUAGUUGCUGAGAAACAACAACGUCAACGGAAGAAAAUACCCGGUCUCGUACCUCACCUUUUUUUUCACGGUAUUAAGACUUCCGGGCUGCUGGGUUUGGAAUUGACUGGUGAUGGCCAGGUUGUGUUUUUAGGAACCAUGUGAUUCAAAUGACAAAAUUGAUGAAUUUUGCGGUUUUCUUAUCAGACAUGAAAGUUUUUUUUUCAGGCACAAGGAUUACAAAGAAAGCAAACGUAGAGUUCUCUAACAUUAGUGAAGACAUCUCUGUAUGGACUUUGUGUAUUGUGUUGUGUUUUUUGUUUUUGUUAGCUUUGUGCCCUUUGCUUUA